GUGCCAGCAGCCGCGGUAAGACAGAGGUUGCAAGCGUUGUUCGGAAUUACUGGGCAUAAAGCGCACGUAGGCGGUCCGCUAAGUCAUGUGUGAAAUCCCCCGGCUCAACCGGGGAAUGGCGCCUGAUACUGGCGGACUCGAGAUCGGUAGGGGUGAGUGGAACUCCAGGUGGAGCGGUGAAAUGCGUAGAUAUCUGGAGGAACACCGGUGGCGAAAGCGACUCACUGGACCGACACUGACGCUGAGGUGCGAAAGCUAGGGUAGCAAACGGGAUUAGAUACCCUCGUAGUCC
rnacentral:rRNA from 1 species